rnacentral:lncRNA from 1 species
UCGAACCCGGCUCUAAAGCUCCCGGCGUUCAGUCUUGCUGGCGAGGUGGGCUUGCCAGGCUGGCCCCAGGACCACCCCCCAGGCCACUGGGCUCCUCUCAUCAUUGUCCAUCCGGUAAGCCAGCCAACUCAUCCGACAUCAUCUGCCUGAGCCCCGGUCGUCUCCCCAUCGACCCUGUCCCCCCCCCACCCCCCGGCCGGCUGCCCUGGGCUCCCAGCUUCCGAGUUGCCUGGGCGAAGAAGACAAACACCCGAGAAAGCAUACACAACGUUUAUUGAGCUCUUCCGGUGAGCUGGACCUGAGCCGAGGGCUGGACACGGAGGCUCCCGUUUAAUCCGUCCGAUGUCCCUAGGAGCUACUCCAAGAAGAGGAAGAACCUGAAAAGACAGGGGAGCAAGAGGAAGGCGGUGAAGAGGAGCCAGCGGGUUGGCAAAACACAGAGGUGGCACUCAGGGCGGAAACACAACUGAGAGGCACCCCGCGGCUCAUUCCUGUGUCGGUUUCACCCAAAUGAGGACGCCAUCCCGCGUGGAACACUAGAAGGAAAGCGUUCUGCAGGAACACGUUAACUACAGGGAUUUCUAUGCAACACUGAUUAAAGCUUGCACACUGGAUG